GCCGGGCUCAGUGGCACAUGCCUGUAGUCCCAGCUACCCGGGAGGCUGAGGUGGGAGGAUCGCUUGAGCCCAGGAGUUCUGGGCUGUAGUGCCCUAUGCCGAUCGGGUGUCCACACUAAGUUCAUCAAUAUGGUGACCUCCUGGGAGCAAGGGACCACCAGGUUGCCUAAGGAGGGGUGAACCGGCCCAGGUCGGAAAUGGAGCAGGUCAAAACUCCAUGCUGAUCAGUAGUGGGAUUGCGCCUGUGAAUAGCCACUGCACUCAAGCCUGGGCAACAUAUCGAGACCCCGUCUCU
rnacentral:SRP_RNA from 1 species